GUGACCUCAAAUCAGGUAGGACUACCCGCUGAACUUAAGCAUAUCAAUAAGCGGAGGAAAAGAAACUAACAAGGAUUCCCCUAGUAACUGCGAGUGAAGCGGGAAAAGCUCAAAUUUAAAAUCUGGUGGUCUUUUGGCUGUCCGAGUUGUAAUCUAGAGAAGUGUUAUCCGCGCUGGACCGUGUACAAGUUUCCUGGAAUGGAGCAUCAUAGAGGGUGAGAAUCCCGUCUUUGACAUGGACUACCAGGGCUUUGUGAUGCGCUCUCAAAGAGUCGAGUUGUUUGGGAAUGCAGCUCAAAAUGGGUGGUAAAUUCCAUCUAAAGCUAAAUAUUGGCGAGAGACCGAUAGCGAACAAGUACCGUGAGGGAAAGAUGAAAAGAACUUUGGAAGAGGAGUUAAACAG
rnacentral:rRNA from 1 species